rnacentral:rRNA from 1 species
CUUUCUUACCAAGGUGUUGUUUUCUCCACAGGGAUGUUUUCAGGGGAGUUCUUCUUUACAGAGGUUCUCUUGCGGGUACAUCGUUGUUGUAGGGGCGACGUUUUGGUAAGGAUGUGGUGGAUGUGGUGGCUUUUGGAGGGGCUUGCGGCCUAUCAGGUAGUUGGUGGGGUAACGGCCUACCAAGCCUUCGACGGGUAGCUGGUCUGAGAGGAUGGUCAGCCGGACUGGGACUGAGAUACGGCCCAG